UUGAUAUUAUGAAAUUUGAAAAUUAAACAGUUAUUUUGGGGAAUUGGGUUUUCUCUAAAUUUUAGCCCCUAAUGUAAUGAAGUAUUUUGUACUUUCAGAAAGUUUCCUGAAAAUUAGCAAGUUAAUCACAUCAAUAAAUCGCAGAACGUUUAAUUUGAAACAUAUUUAAGAAUAAAAAAAAAAGAAAUUAAAUACUAUUACCUUGAUUAACGUGAACUACUGAAAAGCUUAACUCCUGUAUUCAUGAAUAUAUUAUUUUUAUCAGCGUGAUUUUUUCAAACUUAACAGACUGGGAGGCUUUCAGUUGGGGUACAUUUAGGAGACUUUUCUGUUGUGUUUUGCAAUGCAUGGUAUGAUCAAAAGUUAUAUCUAUGUCACAAGUAGGACUUACAAAUUAAAAUAUAUUUUAGCCAUCCAUAUACUAGGAAAAAUGCUUUAGUCAGAUAUGACUAAAUAUAAUUCUGAUUGGUGUUAGAUAACACAAUAUACAUAGGUUGUGAACUAAUGCAAAAUAGUAGCUCUGUAAUUAUUUGUUUUUCAAAAUCAAGUGUUAUUAGAGGUUUGUGGUAUUACUUUCAGUAUAAAUAAGGUGAAGUUCGGAAAGUUUGGAAAAUGCUUAGAUCAUGAGUGGCGCCGUAUUUGUUGUUAGUAGUCACUGUUAAGAGAGCUUCACAGAGAAGUAAUUUUUGUGGAGUUUAAACGCAGUGAUAGAUUGAUGUCCGCUUAAAUCUGCCUCCAGUCCCAAAUAAUUAAUGUUUUACUUGGGCAAGACUAAACAGAGGACAUGUGCCUGUUAUUUAAUAGCAAGAGUGUUCAACAAGACUCUGAUUUCACUAACCUAUAAAUUAAUGAUAAGAAAAAGAGGCUAAGAUCAACAGAAUCUAACUGAAUAAGAAAAAUAAAAGAAAAAAUUUUGAUUUAUUUUCCAAAUUUUCGAAAGUGAAAGUUCUUUAGCUAUUAUCGGCUUAUGGCUUGUGAUGAACUACUGAAACUUUUCCUAGAAGCUUUGUUUGCAUAAACCUUUGAAACUUGUCCUUCUCUUGGUCACAUGGGUUUUGUAACUCAACGUCACUAGCCAAUUUUCUCUUUUAUGUUGUCUUCACAUUGAAGUUUAAUUUCCUCCUCUUCAUUAUGCUUUGCACUUGCAUCUGUAUUGGUCUGAAAAAUCCAUUCGCACCCACAUCCAUCACAUUUCUAAUUCCUAUUUGUAUCAAUUCUAAAUCUGAUUCUUACCCACACCCUUUUAAAAAAAUAUAUAUGAUCACAGCAUUUAGGAUCAGUUAAUAUCCAUAUUCGAAUUCGUAUCUGCAUGUUUAGGAUGGGUAAGAAUAUGGUUUCUCCAAGUAACCAACUGUAUUCAAUUUGUUUUCUCUCCUUAUAGUACUGGCUUCUACGCCACCGCAAAUAAUCUGCUAUUUCGUGAAAAAUGGUUAUGUUUAGGAUGAAUAAAGAACAAGGUUCCACAUAUCAGUCAAUAUAUUGCCACAAUAGAAAGAAAGAGAUGCAGGCAGAGAGAUUAAAAUUUUAAUUCUUCUCAAAGUAAAUAUAGUCCAUUUCUUUCAUCAGAUAUCUCCAAAAGAAUCACAAAGUAAAGAGAAAUGAGGAGAUAGGGAAGACUGCAAACCUGAAUCAAAGCCAAAGUGAGAAGAAUGAGUAUAAACUGAAAGAAUAAAGAUGGCCCAACUAGUGUUUUACAGUGUAAUCUGAAGAGGAGAGCGGGAGAAGCUUGCAAAAGCUGGAAGUAGGGCCAAUAGCCAUUGGAGUGGGAAUGCUUGCUGAUCUAGGUUUAUCAAGGUCCAGUCUACAGAGGUAAUGGUCCAAUGGGAGGUGAUUGCAGGGAAUCAAUGGCUCGAGGUCUCAACGAGUCGAGAGGUAGAAAUUCAGGUUCUAGGUGUUUUAGCUUGUGCUUCGAAGGUCAAGCCAGUUGGAAUAGCUGAAAAGCCAAGCCUCUUUGUUUGCAUUCAUAGCAAUCUGUCUAAAUCACCUGACUCCCCAAUACUUCACCACAUGCUUCAAAAAUAGCCGCGCCGUCUCCUCAGCAGUACAACUUAUGGGUGCGGGGAUGAAACCGGCAUACUUCGAAAAUCGGUCCACUAUGACGAGAAUCGAACCGAACUCCCCCACCUUUGGCAGACUGGAGAUGAAGUCCAGGGAGACGCUCUCCCAUGGCCGCUCCGGCACUGGUAAGGGCUCCAGCAGCCCACACGGCUUCUCUCGCUCCACCUUGUCUUGCUGGCAUGUGAGACAUGUGCGUACAUAUUCUUCAAUGUCCUCCCCCAUUUUCGGCCAAUAAUAGGCCCUCUCCAUAAGGGCCAGGGUCCGAUGUACGCCCGGGUGGCCUGCCCACAGAGUGUCGUGACACUCCUGGAGCAGUUCCCUCCUCAAGUUCCCCGCCCGCGGCACGUACACUCGAUCCCCCUUUGUUUUGAUGAGGCCAUCCUGGAUCCAGAAUCUUCGCGCCUUGCCUUCGUCGAUCAAUUGCUUGAGAGUACCAGUGGCUGCAGUAUGCAUAAAUUCCAAAACGACACUCAGUCUGUGUUAUUUACUACCACAACAUUGAAAUUGCAGCAAAAGUUACCAGAAAAGUGCAUGCAAUUAAUUUGCUGGAUGAUUUCUCCUCUUCCAAAGCUCUAACCAGCAGCUUUUGUCUGCUAAAUACAGAAGGCAAACAUCAUAAUCCUUUCAACUCUUCUAGUUGUUUUUUGAUGUGAUUGCUUUAGUUUCUACUACUAUCUACUACUAGUUUCAAUACCCAAAGAAACUUCUCUCUGCAACAGAUUAAAUCUGAAAUUUUAAAUCAGAACUUCUGCUUUUGUGCUUUACACUUCUUGCUGCAUAAGAAGCUUAAGACAGAUCUGGUUGCCAAAUGCUUUUUGAAGGUGGCUAUAGUCUACCAGAUUGAAGGUGAGUUAAAUUUAUGGGCUGUAUGAAGAUGGUACACUUCAAUGGAGUGGUUACUAUGAUUGAUGCACAUGUAGGCUGCAUGAACAUGAAGGAUCUAGAUUAUCUGUUGAUGAAACUUGGUGCUUAAAAGGGACAAACUGUGGGACUCUUCUUUAGAGUUUCUUACGCAAGUAUACGAUUCACGUCUGAGGAGAGACAAUAAAGGUGAGAGGACUGGCAGUCCAUAAUAUAUUUUUGGAAAAUAUUUGGGUUAGAAGGCAUGGCUGUGUUCAUGUGCACUAUGUAGCUCUAGGUCGAGUUCUAAUAGUAUUUCUAAAGGACAAGUACUAUUAUUGUAUUUUUAUCUUUUUUAUUCUUUUCAAGGGAUUGGAUUGGAAACAAUAAGAUAGAGAGAUAAGAGAGAGAUGUUGGAGGCAAUAGAAAGUUACAGGGAGUUGAAUUCGGUUAGGUCAAAUAGAACUGUAGUUAUCGAACUCCAAGCUCUCAUUUGGCAUUUAAUGGGAUUGGAUCUGCUCUGUUGCAUGUUAGCA